AUUGAACGCUGGCGGCAGGCUUAACACAUGCAAGUCGAGCGGAGAUGAGGUGCUUGCACCUUAUCUUAGCGGCGGACGGGUGAGUAAUGCUUAGGAAUCUGCCUAUUAGUGGGGGACGACAUUCCGAAAGGAAUGCUAAUACCGCAUACGCCCUACGGGGGAUAGCAGGGGAUCUUCGGACCUUUCGCUACUAGAUGACCCUAAGUCGGAUUAGCUAGUUGGUGGGGUAAAGGCGUACCAAGGCGACGAUCUGUAGCGGGUCUGAGAGGAUGAUCCGCAACACUGGGACUGAGACACGGCCCAGACUCCUACGGGAGGCAGCAGUGGGGAAUAUUGGACAAUGGGCGGAAGCCUGAUCCAGCCAUGCCGCGUGUGUGAAGAAGGCCUUUUGGUUGUAAAGCACUUUAAGCGAGGAGGAGGCUACCUGGAUUAAUACUCUAGGAUAGUGGACGUUACUCGCAGAAUAAGCACCGGCUAACUCUGUGCCAGCAGCCGCCGUAAUAC
rnacentral:rRNA from 1 species